rnacentral:tRNA from 1 species
GCCUGGGUGGCUCAGUGGCUGAGCAUCUGCCUUUGGCUCAGGUUGUGAUCCUGGGGCCCUGGGAUCGAGUCCCACUUCGGGCU